UACGUAGGGUGCAAGCGUUAAUCGGAAUUACUGGGCGUAAAGCGUGCGCAGGCGGUUUCGUAAGUCUGUCGUGAAAGCCCCGGGCUCAACCUGGGAAUUGCGAUGGAGACUGCAAGGCUUGAAUCUGGCAGAGGGGGGUAGAAUUCCACGUGUAGCAGUGAAAUGCGUAGAGAUGUGGAGGAACACCGAUGGCGAAGGCAGCCCCCUGGGUCAAGAUUGACGCUCAUGCACGAAAGCGUGGGGAGCAAACAGG
rnacentral:rRNA from 1 species